UAGCAAUUCAAAUCGUGGAUGAUUUGAAUAGCAAAAUUCGGGCCAUGGAUGGAACGUAUUUUGCGGUGCGUAAAAU
rfam:Kangiella koreensis DSM 16069, complete genome.